rnacentral:rRNA from 2 species
ACUAUCGUUAACUGAAUACAUAGGUUAACGAGGCGAACCGGGGGAACUGAAACAUCUAAGUACCCCGAGGAAAAGAAAUCAACCGAGAUUCCCCCAGUAGCGGCGAGCGAACGGGGAGCAGCCCAGAGUCUGAAUCAGCUUGUGUGUUAGUGGAACGGUCUGGAAAGUCCGACGGUACAGGGUGAUAGUCCCGUACACCAAAAUGCACAGGCUGUGAACUCGAAGAGUAGGGCGGGACACGUGGUAUCCUGUCUGAAUAUGGGGGGACCAUCCUCCAAGGCUAAAUACUCCUGACUGACCGAUAGUGAACCAGUACCGUGAGGGAAAGGCGAAAAGAACCCCGGCGAGGGGAGUGAAAAAGAACCUGAAACCGUGUACGUACAAGCAGUGGGAGCACCUUCGGGUGUGACUGCGUACCUUUUGUAUAAUGGGUCAGCGACUUAUAUUCUGUAGCAAGGUUAACCGUAUAGGGGAGCCGCAGGGAAACCGAGUCUUAACUGGGCGUUAAGUUGCAGGGUAUAGACCCGAAACCCGGUGAUCUAGCCAUGGGCAGGUUGAAGGUUGGGUAACACUAACUGGAGGACCGAACCGACUAAUGUUGAAAAAUUAGCGGAUGACUUGUGGCUGGGGGUGAAAGGCCAAUCAAACCGGGAGAUAGCUGGUUCUCCCCGAAAGCUAUUUAGGUAGCGCCUCGUGAAUUCAUCUUCGGGGGUAGAGCACUGUUUCGGCUAGGGGGUCAUCCCGACUUACCAACCCGAUGCAAACUACGAAUACCGAAGAAUGUUAUCACGGGAGACACACGGCGGGUGCUAACGUCCGUCGUGAAGAGGGAAACAACCCAGACCGCCAGCUAAGGUCCCAAAGUCAUGGUUAAGUGGGAAACGAUGUGGGAAGGCACAGACAGCCAGGAUGUUGGCUUAGAAGCAGCCAUCAUUUAAAGAAAGCGUAAUAGCUCACUGGUCGAGUCGGCCUGCGCGGAAGAUGUAACGGGGCUAAACCAUGCACCGAAGCUGCGGCAGCGACACUAUGUGUUGUUGGGUAGGGGAGCGUUCUGUAAGCCUGCGAAGGUGACCUGUGAGGGUUGCUGGAGGUAUCAGAAGUGCGAAUGCUGACAUAAGUAACGAUAAAGCGGGUGAAAAGCCCGCUCGCCGGAAGACCAAGGGUUCCUGUCCAACGUUAAUCGGGGCAGGGUGAGUCGACCCCUAAGGCGAGGCCGAAAGGCGUAGUCGAUGGGAAACAGGUUAAUAUUCCUGUACUUGGUGUUACUGCGAAGGGGGGACGGAGAAGGCUAUGUUAGCCGGGCGACGGUUGUCCCGGUUUAAGCAUGUAGGCUGGUUAUCCAGGCAAAUCCGGAUAAUCAAGGCUGAGGUGUGAUGACGAGGCACUACGGUGCUGAAGUAACAAAUGCCCUGCUUCCAGGAAAAGCCUCUAAGCAUCAGGUAACAUCAAAUCGUACCCCAAACCGACACAGGUGGUCAGGUAGAGAAUACCAAGGCGCUUGAGAGAACUCGGGUGAAGGAACUAGGCAAAAUGGUGCCGUAACUUCGGGAGAAGGCACGCUGGUGUGUAGGUGAAGUCCCUGCGGAUGGAGCUGAGACCAGUCGAAGAUACCAGCUGGCUGCAACUGUUUAUUAAAAACACAGCACUGUGCAAACACGAAAGUGGACGUAUACGGUGUGACGCCUGCCCGGUGCCGGAAGGUUAAUUGAUGGGGUUAUCCGUAAGGAGAAGCUCUUGAUCGAAGCCCCGGUAAACGGCGGCCGUAACUAUAACGGUCCUAAGGUAGCGAAAUUCCUUGUCGGGUAAGUUCCGACCUGCACGAAUGGCGUAAUGAUGGCCAGGCUGUCUCCACCCGAGACUCAGUGAAAUUGAACUCGCUGUGAAGAUGCAGUGUACCCGCGGCAAGACGGAAAGACCCCGUGAACCUUUACUAUAGCUUGACACUGAACAUUGAGCCUUGAUGUGUAGGAUAGGUGGGAGGCUUUGAAGCGUGGACGCCAGUCUGCGUGGAGCCAACCUUGAAAUACCACCCUUUAAUGUUUGAUGUUCUAACGUUGGCCCCUUACCGGGGUUGCGGACAGUGUCUGGUGGGUAGUUUGACUGGGGCGGUCUCCUCCCAAAGCGUAACGGAGGAGCACGAAGGUUAGCUAAUCCUGGUCGGACAUCAGGAGGUUAGUGCAAUGGCAUAAGCUAGCUUGACUGCGAGCGUGACGGCGCGAGCAGGUGCGAAAGCAGGUCAUAGUGAUCCGGUGGUUCUGAAUGGAAGGGCCAUCGCUCAACGGAUAAAAGGUACUCCGGGGAUAACAGGCUGAUACCGCCCAAGAGUUCAUAUCGACGGCGGUGUUUGGCACCUCGAUGUCGGCUCAUCACAUCCUGGGGCUGAAGUAGGUCCCAAGGGUAUGGCUGUUCGCCAUUUAAAGUGGUACGCGAGCUGGGUUUAGAACGUCGUGAGACAGUUCGGUCCCUAUCUGCCGUGGGCGCUGGAGAAUUGAGGGGGGCUGCUCCUAGUACGAGAGGACCGGAGUGGACGCAUCACUGGUGUUCGGGUUGUCAUGCCAAUGGCACUGCCCGGUAGCUAAAUGCGGAAGAGAUAAGUGCUGAAAGCAUCUAAGCACGAAACUUGCCCCGAGAUGAGUUCU